CCUACGGGUGGCAGCCGUGAGGAAUAUUGGUCAAUGGGCGCGAGCCUGAACCAGCCAAGUCGCGUGAGGGAAGACGGCCCUACGGGUUGUAAACCUCUUUUUCCGGGGAGCAACGGGCGCCACGUGUGGCGCCACUGAGAGUACCCGGAGUAAAAGCCUCGGCUAACUCCGUGCCAGCAGCCGCUGUAAUACGGAGGAUGCGAGCGUUAUCCGGAUUUAUUGGGUUUAAAGUGUGCGUAGGCGGUGCGUUAAGUCAGGGGUAAAAUUGAGGGUCUCAACCCUUUCCCGCCAUUGAAACUGGCGCUCUUGAGUGGAAGAGAAGUAUGAGGAAUGCGUGGUGUAGCGGUGAAAUGCAUAGAUAUCACGCAGAACCCCGAUUGCGAAGGCAGCAUGCCGGCUUCCGACUGACGCUGAAGCACGAAAGCGUGGGGAUCGAACAGGAUUAGAUACCCUUGUAGUC
rnacentral:rRNA from 1 species